AUUGAACGCUAGCGGGAUGCCUUACACAUGCAAGUCGAACGGCAGCACGGACUUCGGUCUGGUGGCGAGUGGCGAACGGGUGAGUAAUGUAUCGGAACGUGCCCAGUAGCGGGGGAUAACUACGCGAAAGCGUAGCUAAUACCGCAUACGCCCUACGGGGGAAAGCAGGGGAUCGCAAGACCUUGCACUCUUGGAGCGGCCGAUAUCGGAUUAGCUAGUUGGUGAGGUAAUGGCUCACCAAGGCGACGAUCCGUAGCUGGUUUGAGAGGACGACCAGCCACACUGGGACUGAGACACGGCCCAGACUCCUACGGGAGGCAGCAGUGGGGAAUUUUGGACAAUGGGGGCAACCCUGAUCCAGCCAUCCCGCGUGUGCGAUGAAGGCCUUCGGGUUGUAAAGCACUUUUGGCAGGAAAGAAACGGCGCGUGUUAAUACCAUGCGCAACUGACGGUACCUGCAGAAUAAGCACCGGCUAACUACGUGCCAGCAGCCGCCGUAACAC
rnacentral:rRNA from 1 species